AUUGAACGCUGGCGGUAUGCCUUACACAUGCAAGUCGAACGGUAGAGGGGCAACCCUUGAGAGUGGCGAACGGGUGAGUAAUACAUCGGAACGUGCCCAGUCGUGGGGGAUAACGUAGCGAAAGCUACGCUAAUACCGCAUACGACCCGAGGGUGAAAGCGGGGGACUCGCAAGGGCCUCGCGCGAUUGGAGCGGCCGAUGGCAGAUUAGGUAGUUGGUGGGGUAAAGGCCCACCAAGCCUGCGAUCUGUAGCUGGUCUGAGAGGACGAUCAGCCACACUGGGACGGAGACACGGCCCAGACGCCUACGGGAGGCAGCAGUGGGGAAUUUUGGACAAUGGGCGAAAGCCUGAUCCAGCAAUGCCGCGUGCAGGAAGAAGGCCUUCGGGUUGUAAACUGCUUUUGUACGGAGCGAAAAGGUCUCCUCUAAUACAGGGGGCUCAUGACGGUACCGUAAGAAUAAGCACCGGCUAACUACGUGCCAGCCGCCGCCGUAA
rnacentral:rRNA from 1 species